ensembl:lncRNA
CGGCCACUAAAGGACGAAAGAUCAGUCGAAGAGAUCUGCUCAAAGUCAAUGUCCAGCGCACUUGCUGUGACAUCAUGGAUUACGUGUUGGUCAGAGUCCCGCCCCCUGUAUCAGGAUUGCCCCGCCCACGUUUCUCCCUGUACCUGUCCUCUCAGCUGCAGUAUGGAGUGGUGCUUGUCUACCACAGACAGUGUGAAUUUUUGUUAGGUUGGUGUGCUCAAACUUGAGGGUAAAUGAUCAUUUGUGGGCUGGGACAAUUUUUUUAAGUCAAAAAUAUUCACUUGUAUACUUUUAUAAGGAUAUUAUUGAAAUGCCCCUAAUAUAUUCUUUAGGCUUGAUUUAGCAUGUAACAAAAGAAGCUUUUUGCAGUUUUGACUGCAUCUUUGCUCUUUUAAGAUGACAAAGUGGAUUACAGUGCAGUCUUAGAGCUGAUAAGGAUCAUGAAAUUUGUAGAAUUUAGAGAUUUUGAUGUGUCCACUGAUUGUGUUUCUGUAUUUUUUUAAUUAAUGUUGUUUUCUCAGAGGACACUCAGGGGGCAAUAGAUAGAUUGCUCCGCCUUAACUUGAAGUCCAACAUUGAUAUGGGGGAUGAAGAAACCAGGCAGAGUCACAUGAUCCCAGAUGCUGCUGCACUAUUUGAUGAAACAGAGGGAGCGAGGGAUCCAUUCUUUGGAGUUAUGGAGACUGGUUAUGGCCUGCCAAGUCCAAGCAGCCUCAUCCAGCGAAUGGAAGAGGUCUUACCUGAGCAAGUCCCGCCCACUAGAGAACCAACACCACCUUCAGAUGGUGAGUACUGUAAUGUGAUCCACUGCCACAGCAGCACACUUUUACAAAUAUCAAUAGUCUUUCAAAUGAUGCUAUGGGAAUUUGCACAGUCAAAGUAAUGAUAAUAACAGACCAGUAAUAACAAAAAUGAGAAGACAGACAUAUAGAAAUGUGCAUUUUAUGUAUUUUUAAACCUCCUUAUUUCCCCUCUAGGCAUCACGGCCAGCCAGGAGUCCAUCACCCUGACAGAAAGAGAGCCAGUCGUCAUGCCUGAGCCAGAGGUACAGCUGUCACUCAGUGUUAUCACCAUAUAAUCGCUGUAUAAAAUCCUGAAUGCUGUUUCUCUCAUUCCUCAGUUUGAAGGAGCAGAUCUGCAGGAGUCUGACAUGAUCGAGCUACUGCUGGAGCAGCCAGAUCACUUUCUUGAGCGUGAGUGAUGGCAACAUGCUGUUUUCAUUCACACCCUUAAUUAUGUGCAGUAAUUAUCCAGAUCCAGAUUACACAUGCACAGACUAAUUGUACAACUCACACGAAACAUGUUCAUAUUUCACCCUGAAAUCAAUAAAUUUAAAUAUUCAUGCUUUUCA